rnacentral:rRNA from 1 species
GACGAACGCUGCGGCGUGCUUAACACAUGCAAGUCGAACGGAAAGGCCCUGCUUUUGUGGGGUGCUCGAGUGGCGAACGGGGGAGUAACACGUGAGUAACCUGCCCUUGACUUUGGGAUAACUUCAGGAAACAGGGGCUAAUAACGGAUAGGAGCUCCUGCUGCAUGGUGGGGGAUGGAAAGUUUCGGCGGUUGGGGACGGACUCGCGGCUUAUCAGCUUGUUGGUGGGGUAGUGGCUUACCAAGGCUUUGACGGGUAGCCGGCCGGAGAGGGUGACCGGCCACAUUGGGACUGAGAUACGGCCCAGACUCCUACGGGAGGCAGCAGUGGGGAAUAUUGCACAAUGGGCGGAAGCCUGAUGCAGCAACGCCGCGUGCGGGAUGACGGCCUUCGGGUUGUAAACCGCUUUCGCCUGUGACGAAGCGUGAGUGACGGUAAUGGGUAAAGAAGCACCGGCUAACUACGUG